rnacentral:rRNA from 1 species
ACCAACGACUGUGCUGGGUUGAAUACACCAGUUCUUGGCCGAUCACUGAAUCUAAAUGGCGUUGGGCGUGAUAGGUACUUCGAUGGGUCAUCGCGUGGGACAUCAUGUGUUGUUGGUU